rnacentral:rRNA from 1 species
GCAGUCGAGCGCGGGAAGCGAACGGAACUCUUCGGAGGGAAGUUCGUGGAACGAGCGGCGGACGGGUGAGUAACACGUAGGCAACCUGCCUGUAAGACUGGGAUAACUCGCGGAAACGCGAGCUAAUACCGGAUAACACUUUCUAUCACCUGAUGGAAAGUUGAAAGGCGGCUUUUGCUGUCACUUACAGAUGGGCCUGCGGCGCAUUAGCUAGUUGGUGAGGUAACGGCUCACCAAGGCGACGAUGCGUAGCCGACCUGAGAGGGUGAUCGGCCACACUGGGACUGAGACACGGCCCAGACUCCUACGGGAGGCAGCAGUAGGGAAUCUUCCGCAAUGGACGAAAGUCUGACGGAGCAACGCCGCGUGAGUGAUGAAGGUUUUCGGAUCGUAAAACUCUGUUGUCAGGGAAGAACAAGUACGAUAGUAACUGAUCGUACCUUGACGGUACCUGACCAGAAAGCCACGGCUAACUACGUGCCAGCAGCCGCGGUAAUACGUAGGUGGCAAGCGUUGUCCGGAAUUAUUGGGCGUAAAGCGCUCGCAGGCGGUUCUUUAAGUCUGAUGUGAAAUCUUGCGGCUCAACCGCAAACGUGCAUUGGAAACUGGAGGACUUGAGUGCAGAAGAGGAGAGUGGAAUUCCACGUGUAGCGGUGAAAUGCGUAGAGAUGUGGAGGAACACCAGUGGCGAAGGCGACUCUCUGGUCUGUAACUGACGCUGAGGAGCGAAAGCGUGGGGAGCGAACAGGAUUAGAUACCCUGGUAGUCCACGCCGUAAAC